ensembl:lncRNA
GAACUGAAUAUGCCGGGGAUGGAAUAGCGUGUUGAUCUGUGCCUUUGGCACUUGCUUGUGGCCUUUCUUACUGGAUCGCCCCAUCGCAGCCUUGACUGUUCAGCUCAAUUCAUUACUUAUUUGACAUGAAACGUUGUCAGUGAGUCUAAUGGAAAAUUCCACUAAAGAAGGAAAAAACAUCUCUAAUAUGGAACAGCGAGCUAUUGAUUAAAGCUGCCAUGUGCCCUCAGAGCUCCUUUCUUCGAUAAUGCCUAAAACAGAUCAAGGUUAACAUGGGUGUUACCUCUUAACAGUCCAAAUGUCGGGCUGGCUUUAAGUACAGAGGUGAUGGACUAAUGUCCCAACUGCCUCACGUGGACCACACAGGUGACCCCGAGGACUGCGGGCUGGGACAAGGCAGUCACUCUCACCAAGAUGCCACCUGGGACUCUGACCUUUGGGCCCCAGGGACACUCGGGCGAACGAGACGGCCCGUGGCCCUCAGUUGAGCAGCAGCAGGAUGUUCAAAUGGCCACACCGUGCAUGUGUGAAGAGGGAAGAAAGCAUGAUGACACGAUCUGGGUGUGGAUUUCAAGGAUAUAAAGAUGUUUUAGAAGACAUAAUAGCUCAACUUCACGGAGGACCACAGAAAUUCACACCUGAGCUUGGAUCGGUCACAGAUACAAAGAUGGCUCCUCACUUCCCAGAGAACACUCUCCUUCAUGUGGGAACAUCCAGGCUGCUUGUUCCCCUUCUGCUGAAGUGGGGAGUCUGUAGAAAUAUUAUGCCACACUUGACAUCAGGCCUACAUAUUGGCGUGUCUCCCACCCCACUUCCUGGAUGUGAGCAUUCCCCCAGCCCCUUGGAGGAGAUAAGUUAUCUUUCCCAUCUUGACUCACUCAUGUAACAGGAAUCAGAAGCUCACAUACCAAGUAGGGGCCGGACCACGAGGUUAUGGCCCUUCAGCUGGCGAACACAGAAACGAAUUGAGAGGUGGCCAUUACUGCCAUGCACCGGUGUUGCCAAUAGGAGAGUCAACUCUUGCACAUACAACAAUAUGGAUGAGCCCCGACAUGAGUAGGCUGAGUGAAAGAGGCCAAACAAAACAAGCGUAUACUGUGUGGCUCAAUUUGUAUAAAAUUUUAGAUGAUGCAGACACAUCUGCCGAGUCAGAAAGCAGAUCGGUGGUUGCCUGAGGAUGAGCUAUGUGUAUGGAUGACAAAGGGGCGGGAGAAACCUUUUGAGGGUGAUAGAUGUGUUCAUUAUCUUAAUUCAGGUGAUGAUUCCGUGGGCAUAUACAUAUGUCCAAACUCAUCAAAUUGUCUCUUAAUUAUGUGCUAUUUAUUGUAUGUCAGUUAUGCCUCCAUAAAGAUGUAUAAGCAAAAAAAAAAAAAAAAAAACCCUCUAAACUGGGUUUAUCUGCAGAGGUUUUUGAUGACCUAGGAAAUGACUAUGAAAAUCUGUUGUACCCUGUGGAUGGAUGCACACUAGCUCUCAUAAAAGAGUUAUGGAAAUUGCAGAUGAGUUACACAAAUUUCUUCGGUAAAGAGGCAGUAUUCGAUCUUUGCUAAUGUUUACUGACACAGCAAAUUGUUCUCAGAGAUACAAUUCCUGGAGGCUAUUUUUGAAAACCAAGAGAAAAAAAAUGCUUGAUCUGAUCCUUUAUAAUUAAAGGAGAUAUUUUAACAUUGAGUAUGUCAGUAAUUGUUUUCUAAAAGAAAGUUUAGGGGCACCUGGGUGGCUUAGUCGUUUAAGCGUCUGACUUGAUUUCAGCUCAUGGUUUUGAUUUCAUUUCACGGUUUGUGAGUUCAAAGCCCGUGUCGGGCUCUGUGCUGACAGUGUGGAGCCUGUUUUAGAUCCGCUGUCUCCCUCUCUCUGUGCCUCUACCCUGCUUGUGCUCUCCCUCUCUCUCUCUCUCAAAAAUAAAUAAACGUUAACAAAAAUAAGUAAAAGAAAG